CAAAGGUUGGUUAACCAGGCAAACAAACAAUGCGAAGCGAUUAAGGUUCAACUGCAGUCAUGAUUUUUGUCCAAGGUUAAGAACUUGGCAUUGUCAUGGAUCAGAGCUGCACAUUAGCAUUCUUGACCUUUAGCUGAUUCAUUCAUCAGGCAAGGCGAUAGACACAGGGGGUUCCAAUUUCAACAUGCCAGCGGGUGAAACACCCAUGCCUCAUAAUGAACUGGUGAUUCUGUUUUACUACUUACUGCUACCUCUCGAGCAGGACCUAUCCAUACAUGGGAGGAAAAGUGUGAUGCGAGUGAGUGAGAGAGAAAAAUUGUGUAUACCUGAGGAGCACUUUGACCUCAGGAACGCCGCCAUCUCCUGCAGCCACCCGAAGAACCUCCUGCAGAAGAGAGAUCCCGGGGCGGGGUUAGCGCCGACGCCGCGGCCGCGCGCAAGAAAGCAAGAAGAAGGCGAACCCUACGGAGCCCUGAGAGAUCCUUGGAGCCGGACCAACCUACCUCGUCGAACGAACUGGAACUAUCGGGGUCCAGGGAGGCGGGGUACAGCGUCCCGGCGGCGUCGAUGAAGAGAGAGGGGUGAAGGGAAUGAACUCAGCGGAGACGGGCGGCGGCGCCGGUGGGGGACAGGGGAAUACACGUAGGGUAACCCGGGCUCCUGCGGCCCAGGCCCAUCGUCCUGGGCCUUGGCAUUGAGGCCCACCAAUGAAUGGCCUCAUCAACACCCUCAAUACAAAUUCCCCUAAGAACUACUAUUAAGAAAAUCCUCAAAAGGAAAAAAUGGCAGUGUGUGCUUCAAGUACCACAGUAAUAUUUCCAGCUGCCACUUGUCUCCUUUGUUGCUUUCUUUUUUUGAGCUGCUCCUCUGUUGCUUUCUUUAUGUGAUUAUUAUUAGAGACUGUGUUUGCAUCAUCAUGACCAUUAAAACAAGUUUACAAUCAUCUGCCUUAUGUAAACAGUUUGGUAAAAUGGAAACGCUUCUAAUCACUCAACGGGGUCGCAGCUCCUGCGUCCGCCACCUUCCCUGCACGCCACGUGCCCUUGGGCGACCACCACCACCUAGAUUUGCAACUGGCCCGUUGUUGUAAUCUUAUAUUCUGUUGAAAAAAAAAUCUGCAACAAUAUCUCUAUUGCAAAAGUUCUGCAACAUCAACUCUGUUUCAAACCUUUGAGCGCAACAUCAUCAACGGCUGGUGAGGCAUGAAGACAAGUCACAAACUUACAACAAUGCAGAAAGUGAUUAAGAUAGAAAGGCAAGUGCAGCCAUGAAGGAAGAUGAGAAAUGGGAACUGAAGUGACCAGGUCAUUGGGUUAGCAACCAGGAAACCAAGCAAGAUUUUGUACCAGGGGCUGAUGAUAUUUCUGAAACAGAGCAAGAGGAGAGAUAACCUAACGAUAACAUCAACCUCCAAACAGAACUGAACAAAAUGUAGGACAUGGCCUCCGAAUAUUGAAUAUCAACUCCAAUGCUUACACACAGGUGUGCAACUUAAGGAAUGGUUUCAAGGUUUAAGGAAUAGAAAGAAAAUCUCAAGACGCAAACAAGACAGAGACUGGUGGGUUUAAGAUAACUCUCAAAUACACUUGAUCACUGUCAACUCUACAAUGUGUUUUGACAGUGAGAAAGUGAACCAAGAUUUUAAACCACCGUCUAGAGAAAGCCAGGGUAUGCUCAAAACCACAAGCUGAUGAUUCUUCUGCAUCAUACCGAAAGUACAGAGCACAUGCUACUAAACAAAGAUGAACACACGAUAACAGUGACCGGACACACGAUAACAGUGACCGGUUAAUUUCACGAUUCUAUUAAGCGGUAGGAGAGCAAAUCUGACCAUCGGCCACACGAUAACAGCACAUGCAUAACUUGCUCAUGGUAAGUAGAAAACAAAUGUUCACUGUCGUCUACAUUCUGAUGAAACACAAAGUACUUGAUAUAGGACGGAUCACAUGCUCGCACACACACAAAACUGUUUGAUUCCAUUACUCUUCCAUAAGAUUCUCUUCGGUCUUGAGCUGGGAAACUAGAACCUUCUGCUUGGCUACAUAAUUCUCGGUCUCCUUCUUGGGAACCAUGCCAAUAUCCUGCUCCAGCUCCUUAGCAUCGCUCUUCCNNNNNNNNNNNNNNNNNNNNNNNCUUCCGCACCAUGCUCUUACCACUCUUCUGUCUGUUAGGAGAAUAAACAGUGCGUGUUAAAGGAAGAAACCAUUCCCAGAUUAAAAAAAAAUCAAGGUACAGCAACCGACCUCUCUGUAAUGUGUUUCUUCUGCCGUUCAUGUCUGAUCUUUGUGAUAAGCGGGAUGGCCUUGAGAGUCUGCUCGGUGACGUUACGGUCGUAGCGCUCCGGCCUGUUCCUCUUCCUCUCAAACUCAAACGUGGAAUCCUGGUAGGCUCAAACAAUGAUUCGAUUAUGACCCCACACAUCAACUAUCUACUCGCUACUGGCAGGACAUAGAAGACAGCAAGCUCAUUACCUGUGUCAUGUCCUUUCCACGCAGGCGUCUGUACGCCUUGGUCCACUUAACCUUGCGAGGGUUCCUCUUCAUCUUGAAGUUCUUGUGGCAUUUUGAUCGGCAGAAGCGGAAGACCUAACAAAAAGCAGAUGUAAGACCUGCUUACAUGCUGUGCCGUCAACCAAAUCCAGACAGAGGCAGAAGUGAAGCUACAAAAGCUACUAGCAAGGCAGGAACGGCACAAGAAUUGUUGUAUCUUCAGCUUUUCAUAAGGCUACAGGUCUCCAGCCAGACCCAAAUACAAGCAGAGAUGAAGCUAAACAGUUUAUAUUUACUAAUUGAAUCCCAUAAGGAUUGUAUCUCCGAAUUUCUUCACAGACGAUGCAAGACAUAGUGAUAACAGAAACGAAGUAACCAUAGCUGUUCACCACCAGGUUGUUAAUACGACAACAAAGGCCUAACAAAGAGGAUGGAAGACCUGGUCACAUGCCAUGCCACUAACCAAAUCCAUAUACUGGCAUAAGUGAAGCUACACAAGCUACUUCCAAGGCAGGAACCCCGCAAGAAUCAUUGCAUCUUCAACUUUUUGUAAGGCUACAGGUGCCCAGCCAAAUCCAAAUACAAGCACAAGUGAAAGUAAACAGAUAAUCCAUGAACCAAAUCACAUGAGAAUUGCUCUAUCUCCGCUUCUUUUUUCAUGAGGUGCGCUUUCUUUCUCCCAUGUUAAAUCGAUUCUCUCUGGAAAUCUUCGUAAGGCUACUACAGGCGUGACAAAAAAUACAAAGCAGAGGUGAAGCUAAACACAUUAUUAAUAAAUCGGAUCUCAUAAAAAUCCCCCUACUUUCACAUUCUCAUGCCGUGCAUUUUCUCCUAGGUUAAUCCUCUCUGAGGAUUUUCAGAUGCUAUGCAACAGAUAAUAACAGAAACCAAAUAUUGCUCGGCACCAGGAACUUGAUACGAGGGAUUUCCAUGGCGUCCAAACAUGUAUAAUCCGAUACCACAACCGCAUGGACGGACGGCACCACAGGCAGAGGCUGUUGACAUGUGAGAAACAUAUACAGACAGAUGGAUACCUUGGCGUCGUUGCGGACGAACUGGAUGCCGUGGCCGGGGUAGACGGUGGAGGAGCAGAACCAGCACUUCUCCAACCUCAUGGCGCCAACUCCUCGGUGACCCCGACGUCGCGCACGGCGGCGGCGGCUGGUUGACCGACGGACGCGCAAAACGAACACCGCCCGCGGGUCAGAAGGAGGGUGAAGCGGACUCCAACCGAUAGUAGAACGGAAGGAGGGGGAGAGGCAAACCUUAGGACGGCUGCGGGCGGGGGGACUCGCCGGCUGCGAUGCGGGGCGGCGGCGGCCGCCGAGGAGGGGAGGAGGGAGGCGAGACGGGGCGGAAGGGGAGGAAGGGUUUGGUUGCGGUCGGCGGCUGGGGUUCUUCUAGUGAGGGGGCGGCCGUCCGAUCGGGACGGACGGACAGGAUCGUAUGGAGGAGACGGGCCGGGCAAGACGCCGUGGUUGGGGGGAGCGGGCCUGGCUGAACCGGUGUGCAUCUCGGCUCGGUCGGACCACCGGUUUGUUUGCCGGUUCAUAAACUUUAUUUUCUACUGGGAACAAGUUCCCUACCGCCGAUUAAAAAUUUACUCCCUUCGUUUCAUAAUAUAAUGCGUUCAUGUUUUUAAAGACUUAAGUUUGAUCAUAAAUUUAAUCAACGUGAGCGACGGCGAUGGAAGCAAAAAUUAUACUAACUAUGUACCAUAAUGUAUCAUAUAUUAUGGUAUGGAGGGAAUACCAUUGGAUUCAUAUUUGAAAUAAUUUUCCAGUGGUAUAAUUUUUGCUUUCGCUGUAGUUGCUCACGUUGGUUAAAUUUAUGAUCAAAUGUAAAUCUUAAAAAAUACGGACACAUUGUAUUGCGGAAUGGAGGGAGUAUAUAAUUUCAACAACUAAGCGAUGAUAGACAGAGUGAUGGAUGAUGAUUUCAUUGAAGGCUUUCUGCAUGGUGGACAAGGACGAUGGCUCCAUCACCCAUAGAUGCUAGAAUGAUCGCAAUAUAUUCCGAAUAAGAGGAGCGGAGCAAGGAAAAAAAGGCUCACGUCGCCUACAUCUUAAAGCCUAUGCAACUCCUAUCGACCGGUCGACUACAUCUUAAAGCCUACGCAACUCCUAUCGACCGGUUGAUAGAUGAAGCGCAUGCUUUCGUAUUGUCAGAAUGCAUGCGCGUGUCUCUGUCAUGGCCUUGGGAGGGACUCUUGGCUCGUAAACUAAUGCUGACACGUGGCGGUUGUGCUCGUCCCCGUAGGACCGUUGAGCUCUCUUCCUGUUUGGCAUAAUUGCCAUGGCGAUUGGUAGACGAGGUCAGUGAUGUAAAACUAUCCGACUAAGUAUUCUUCACUGUUGUAAAUUAAUUUCUGAUACCUUUCAUGCCUACAUAAAUUUACAUAAAUAUUUCACACACUUCCUACUCGCCCAUGGCAUUAUCUGAUCGUCACAUUUAUCAGUUACUAGAGGAAAUAUGAAUCGGCACCGAGAGGCUCUAAGGACCUUGUAUUUAUCAGUUGGGUCUAUGUGACAUAAAGGUGUCUUGCUUGCCCACGACAUUAUUUUAGAACAUGGGUAUGCUUCUGCGGUCAGCUACGUUUUGUUAUCUUUGCCUUUAUUUUUUGCAUAGUAAUAUCAUAUAUUUUCCAUCUCAUAUUUUGGAUCUCAUCUUAUUGGAUGCAUGACUCCCAAAUAUAACCCGGUUUCAACAACUAGGACCCGUGGACAAACACUCUGAAAUCUUUCUUUUUUUGGAACGGAGACAAAUUUUUUUUCCUCAUCAAUUAAUUAAAAGGAAAAAAGAGUUUGUUUGUUUAUAUAACACGCCACAUGGCAACUACUCGUGUAUUAAAAUGUCCCCUAUCUUAGUUUAGACACUCUGAAAUCUUAGUUUAGAAACCAAAUGCAUUGAAAAAUUUAUUACGAUAUACUCUCCCUGUAAAGAAAUAUAAGUGUUUAGAUAUCUAUCUUAGUGAUCUAAACACUCUUAUAUUUCUUUACGGAGGGAGUACUACUACAUGAAGACAUGCAUGGCUAAAAUCACCAAUCACCAAAUAGGCCACAAAAUCUUGUAUGUUCAUCAACCAGAUAGUCUGGCUUCCUUAGAUGAUGACAACAUCGAAAGACUCAAGAGCAUGAGUAGGUUUACUAGAAAAUCUACAAUCACAAGGACAAACCAUGAUUUGAGCUUCAAUAAGACUAGUCGGGACAAAAAACUAAGAAGCUCAAUAAAUGCACUGUCCAAUUUAAACAUAAAAUAAUCUGCAGGGGAGACUUCAAACAAUCCACAAAAACAGUUGCUAGAAUGAUCGCAAUAUAUUCCGAAAAAGAGGAGCGGAGCAAGAAAAAAAAGGCUCACGUAGCCUACAUCUUAAAGCUAUGCAACUCCUAUCGACCGGUCGAUAGAUGAAGCGCAUGCUUUCGUAUUGCCAGGAUGCAUGCGCGUGUCUCGGCCAUGGCCUUGGGAGGGACUCUUGGCUCGUAAACUAAUGCUGACAUGUGGCGGCUGUGCUCGUCCCCCGCGCAGGUAGGACCGUUGAGCUCUCUUCCUGUUUGGCACAAUUGCCAUGGCGUUUGGUAGAUGAGGUGAGUGGUGUAAAACUAUCCGACCAAGUAUUCUUCAUUGUUGUAAAAUAAUUUCUGAUACCUUUCAUGCCUACAUAAAUUUACAUAAAUAUGACGCACACUUCCUACUCGCACAUGGCAUUAUUUGAUCAUCGCAUUUAUCAGUUGCUAGAGGAAAUAGGAAUCGGCACCAAGAGGCUCUAAGGACCUUGUAUUUAUCAGUUGGGUGUGUGUGACAUAAAGGUGCCCUACUCAUUCGCGACAUUGUUUUAGCACAUGAAAACGCUUCUGCAACUAGUUAUGUUUUGUUAUCUCCGCCUUUAUGUUCUGCAUUGUAAUACCAUAUAUUUCCAUGUCAUAUAUGAUAUCUCAUCUCAUUGGAUGCACGACUCCCAACCAUAAUUCGGUUUCAAUAAUUAGGUCCCGUGGACAAACACUUCGGAAUCUUUCUUUUUUUUUUGGAAAGGAGGCAAAAGAUUUGCCUCAUCAAUUAACUAAAAGAGAAAAUAGAGUUUGUUUGUUUAUAAAACACACCACAUGGCAACUACUCACGUACUAAAAUGUCCCUUCGCUUAGUUUAGACACUCCGGAAUCUUAGUUUAGACACCAAAUGCAUUGAAAAAAAUUAUUACCAUAUAGUCCCUCCGUCCCAAAAUAAGUGACUCAAAAAUGACUCAGUUUUGUACUAACUUUAGUAUAAAGUAGAGUCAUUUUUAAGUCAGUUAUUUUAGGACGGAGGGAGUACUACAUUAAGACAUGGCUAAAAUCACCAAUCACCAAAUAGGCUACAAAAUCUUGUAUGUUCAUCAACCAUAUAGCCUGGCUUCCUUAGACUAGGACAACAUCGAAAGACUCAAAAGCAUGAGUAGGUUUACUACAAAAUCUACAACCACAAGGACAAAACAUGAUCUGACCUUCAAUAAGACUAGCCGGGACAAAAAAACUAAGAAGCUCAAUGAAUUCAGUGUCCAAUUUGAACAUAAAAUAAUCUGCAAGCAUGACUUCAAACAAUCCACAAAAAUAGCAGGUUGCACCACCUUCCUUUUACAUUUUAAACUCAUGUGCAGGGUUUGUUUUAUGCCAAUGAUCUUCUGUUGACAUGAACCAUCUUGGCACGUGACCAUAGCGGUGAUAGGCAUGCAUGUGAUCUAGGUCGUGCACAACCCGUCCAGCCAUGGGCUCGUGCACGGCUUCAGAUCCUCCUUGCUAAUACUGGCCGCAUGCACGUCCCAUCCUUGUUGGUCACUGUCAGAGGGAUCGUGGUCCACCAGGUGUGCAUGCAUGGCGGUGGUGAUGGUUGCAGGGUGGCCGGUCCAAGUUUUGACAGCCUCUCCUGCUCAAGAUUAUUUAGGGUUUGGUGGAAUGUCCAUCAAUAACUUUUUUUUGUUUCUUUUGAGAUGCCAAAUGUUCCUUGUAUGCAAGCAAGAUUCACUUCAUCCAUCUAGCGUGUGAUUUUUAUAGGUUUUACCUAGUCGAUAAAGUGUAAAAUACAAGAUUAGAACUUAGGUGCUCCUCUCUUUGCUUCUCAGAAUCUAUGAUUUCGACUCGUUAAUAUGUGGACUUUGUAAAACGGAUGUAUGCAGGUCCGAAGAAGAAGGAAGGAAGAGGAAUAUAGUCGAUGAAACUGAUUAUUCUGUGUCGGUCCUUUUUAGGCAUAGUUUUCUUUAUUCAUCAUUUUAUUUUAGAUAGUGAAAUUAUUCCUAACAAUUCUAUGUUGAAUUUUACAUGGUGUAUAUGUAUAUGAAAAUGGUUAUAUAUUUUCGUCUCAACUUUUGGAAAGAGUUGUGAUAGAUGGCACCUGCAGCUCGUGUUUUUUUCUAUGAUAUUAUUUAAUCAAGAUAUUGCAUAGAGUUUCUAGUUAUUUUUUCUUUUGUCAAAAAACGCAUGUUGGUUUGUUGACCGCAUUAAGCGAUCUGAUGUUAGAUCGUGCCUCUAGAGUGUGCUGAGCCGGGAAAAUAUCUGGUGCACUGAAGCUUAUGGUGCUACCGUGCACCCAACUCACGUUGCGCUUUCAAAAAAUAUAUUUUUAGCUUAUUCACACAACAUCAAUGUAGGUUGUCACAAAAUUUCAAGUUUAAACUCGAACCAUAAAUCAAAAUACAAAAAUGACAAAUUCGACCACUAGUGGGGACGGGGCCUUUAGCCCCGGCCCGUAAGGGGCUUUAGUCCCGGUUCACCAACAGGGACUAAAGGGGCGGGACUAAAGGCCUAACCUUUAGUCCCGGCCCUGUUCCAAGCCGGGACUAUAGGUGCUCCACGUGGGCGCCUCGUAGCGCCCCAGGGGCAGACCCUUUAGUCCCGGUUCGUUACACGGACCGGGACUAAAGAGUUUCAGAUUUUGUUUAUUUUGGGGGGUUUUUUUUCAAUAAAAUUAUUUUUGGGUUUUAGGGUUUAGGUGUUCGGGAGAUUAACGUGAUGCCUCGUUUGGUGUUCGGGAAUUAGUUUUCAUAUAAUUUAAAUAGAAAUAAUUAUGCAUAUAUAUAUAAGAUUAACUAUCUUAUAAGCGAGCAUAUAUAUACAAUUAUAUGGAGAUCUGAAUUAUCGGGACUAGAGCCCGUCUAUUCGAUUACAUGGACGAACAUCAGUAAUGGCCCCUAGCUACACUAAAUCGUCAUUUGUCAUCUAUAGCUUCCGUCCUCAGAAAGGUCGCAAGCUCCUCUGCAACAGCAAUCGCGCGUUGCUCUGGUAGGACCUUCGUCCUCAUGGUCGUGUACUAUAUAAGAAGAGGAGAUGAAUAUGAAUAUCAAUCAUGAUAACAAAGAAUGACGAGUAAAAAUAGAGGUGUGAAUGUUCAUUGCUUACGUCGAAUAUGUGAUCCUUGUGCUCAGAGGUAAACGUGCGAAUAGUCUCGCAAACAUAGUAUCCGCAUAGAUGUGUCCCCCGUGGCUGCUGGUCGCACUUUACGAGAAUAGAAUAUAUAUAAUCAAAAUAAUAAUCUAGCAUCAUAAAUGUAUUGAAAAUAGAAGUAUAUCAUACUACUACUUACCUGAGCCGCUCUAAAGGUCAGCUUCUCAGGCUCGAUACCGGGAGUCACGCACUUGAACGGCUUCCAAAUCCUGUCCGACAAGGAUAAUGAUUUGCUAAGUUUUUCAUUAAUUGAUAUAUCAGAAAAUCAUCGAAAGAGACCGAUAGAGCGCAAGAAUGAUUGAAAUUACCCUUGGAGCAUGCCCUGCAGACUUUGGAACUGUUCCAAGGGUCUCGAUAAUGGGUCGAAGGCAUCAACUCUUCCCUUAUCAAUUUGAAUGUCCAACAGAAUCCAAUGGAAGCUGCACAUGUAUAUAUAUGUGUGUGUGUGUCAGUAACUUAUCAAUUACACUUAUAAGUGAAUGGACACAACAGAGUAAAGACCCUCACCUGAAGUUGUAUGGAAACAGUAUGUGGUCACAGAAAUUUUGAUCUGUUAGAAACCUUAGAAGGUUUUCUUCCGUCUCCUUGGGUUUAUCAGUUAGCGUCGCUAUAUGUAUUUUAUCUGGGUCAAUAAACCCAAUAUUUAGGAUGUUCCUACUUUUACAAUCCAGAAUCUUCAUUCUGCAUAAUAGAGUACAAGUUAUAUAUAGACAAUGAAUUGAAAUAACUAAACAAGUUAUAUGUAGACAACGAAUUAAAAAACUUACAGACAAUAGCAACUCAUAAGCGAUUUGUCGAGGGCGUCGCCAUUGUACAUCUGGAAGAGUUCAUCAAAGUCGAUAUGGAUUUCUUCGGGGCGGCCGUAGUACUCCCGUGGGACACUCACCACGAUCAUUGUUCUCCCAUUCUUUGAUUCACUUAAGUACCAUGUAUGCAAGUAACGCAUAUUUGUUGGGAGAUCAUCAAACUUAUCUUUGCUGACCAAAGGCGCUCCCAUGACAAACUGUGGCUUAGGGGCUACCACAGCCUUGGGUAACCUGUCGUCUUGGGAAGCCAGAAUGUCUUCAACCGGGAUACCCCAUUCAGCCGCCCACUUCUUUGCUAAUUCCAAAUCUUGCCCCUGCACCGGAGGGGGGACAUUCUCGGUUAACACCUUGAGGGGUGGGAUCGACUGUUUGGCCUGUUGUCCAAGCUGAAGAACGUCUGAUUUUUUCUUGCUUGUAGUUGAACUUGAUUUGCUCCCACUUGCACUUGCACGUGAUCUGCUCUUUUUCACUUCCUUCUGCAAUGUGCGUGUAUAGUCAUCAGGCUUAUGGUGUAAGUCAUACUGUGAUGGAAGGGUCGUGAAAUAUUUUGCAAAUGCUAUUUGCUUCUCGGUGUAUUCCGGGCGGGGCUCGGGUUCCUUCUUUUUCAUCUGCGCAUCAUGAUGUUCCUUUGCUAUCCUGGCGUUUCCCUUGGGGGUACGAUCAUAAGGUCUGAUAGGAAGAUUAGCAUGAGGUACCUUUGGGAGGGGCGACAGUUUGCGCUUUGGGGGGCUCCGUCGCUUAGAAAUCGUCGGCGGAGCGUUCUUGCUGGCACGCUUCCGCUUAGUAUCCGGAGCGGGCGGCGGCGAAGACAGACGACCCAAGUCCGGCGGCGGUGAUCGAGAUGGACUCGUGUUGUGCUGGCCGACGUCAUGUGGAGGGCUUGGAGGUAAUGGAGGUGUAGGUGACCUGCGACGACUCGGAGGCGGUGUUGUCCUUGGGGCCAAGCCUGGAAGCUUGAUGUAGUUCUUGUCCCAUAGGAUGACUCCACCCAGUACUUCUCCGAGUGUCCUCUCAUCUUCGGGUCCAGCUAUGUCGAGCUCCAUAUCAUGAAACCCUGCCAUGAUUUCAUCCACCCCGACUUUAGCAAAGCCAGCUGGAAUCUCACAGCCAUGCCAGCGUGCAUCAGGGCCAGGGUAAAGCUUGUCCGACGGCCACCUUCAUGGAUAUGUUCUUGAAUUUCUGAUGGAGUUCACAUGAUGUUGACUCCUUGAUUCCAUCCACGGGGUAGCCGGGACCGCGCUCUAUCAUUCUUCGUGCAUCGUCGGGCGGGGCCUCAGAUUCAGCCACGUUGCUUUUCCGCUUAGAUGGGGCGCCGGUAAUAUCAAAUGCAGGAUCUUCCUGACGCGCUACUCCUCUAAGCUCAUCAAUCUGCUUCUGUUGCUCGUUAAUCCUGGCAAGCAACUGGUUGAACUUGUCAUUCUCCUCAUCCUGCUGCCGCUUCUUUGCUCUCUCUCGGCUUCUGUAAGUGUCUUGGUCUCUGGCAAACCCAAGCCACCACGGGUAAGAAGGACCGAAGCCUCGCGUUCGUCCUCCAUGUUCGUCAUUGCCGAGGACCAGUGUGAGCAAAUCUUUCUCUCUAUCUGCAGUGAACUUUCUUUUUCCCUCCUUAAUUUCUUUCACUAUCCUUUUCCAAUUCUCCCUGGGUAUCCUAAGACCGUCACUGCAGAUGAGGUCCCCUGUUUCUUCGUCGUACGAACCACCAUGCGCAAGGAACCAAUUUCUUGCUCUCAAUUCCCACUCAUCACGGAGUGGUUCAGGUACGAUGCCUUUAGCUAGCAGAUCUUGCUCUUUCUUAUCCCACUUUGGGAUGGCAAUCUCAUAGCCCCCUGGCCCCAGCUUGUGGUGAUAUUUCUUCUUGUCGGCAUUUAUCUUGUUCUUUUUUGAUAAUGCCUGGGCAUCUUUUGACUCCUUGUACUCUUGAAAUGCCUUCUAGUGAUUCGCCUGCUUGGCUAGAUACCCCUCGAAUACUGGCACUUUCUUUGUCUUCAGAUAGUUUUUCCAUAGCUUCUUCUUCCAGCUACGGAACAGUUCGGCCAUCUUCUUUAGAGUCCACUGCUUGACUUUGGCCCUCAGUUUGUUUGCGGCGUCUUCAUUCUCACAUUCUGGCAGGUUGAAAUGUGACAUGAGAUCAUUCCAAAGAUUAUCUUUGUACCUUUCGGCGACAUAGUCACUAUCGGCUGCCCCUUUGCGCUUGUUCCACUCCCGAACGCUGAUCGGGACGUGGUCCCUAACGAGAACUCCACAUUGCUUCUUGAAUGUGUCAGCAGCAUUCUUAGGAAGCUUGGGUUCGCCCGUAGGCAAUAUCACCUCAAAGGUGUAAUGCGUCCGUGCAUCCAACUUUCUAGUCGGGCCUCGUUUCGUAGAUUUGCUCGAUGUGGAGGCCUAAGAGGGAGAAACAUUCGUCAAAUGAAUGUAUAUGUAUACAAUAUAGAGAUAUCUCCAAUAUUUUUCACAUAUUACAAGUGAUUGUCGAACUUCAUAUGUAUACAUCGCCGGACUUUAUUAUUUCUUCACCGGCUUCUCCACCGGCUUCUCCAUCAGUGGAGCUAUCACCUUCUCCGUCAUUGGACCUAUCUCCUGCCCCAUCGGCUUCAUCUUCGUGUCGGUCGACCUCCAUUCCAUAUCCAGAGGGGUUUAGAUAUGACGACGGAGAUUCAACUGGUUCAACGACGGGGCCGUCUUUGAUUAUAUCUUCGAGAAGUUCUUCCUCUUCGAGGUUCGUGAUAUGUGGAUCCAUAGUUCUGCAAAAAACGGACAUUUGAUUAACUAAUAAACUAACAAACUAUAUAAGAGGGGUUUGAAACUUCGAAGUGUCGUUUUAUAUAGGAGGACCUUUAGUCCCGGGUCUUGGCUAGAACCUAAACUCUAAAAUAUGUCUAACGGUUUCUCUUAACUUUUGUACUAAAAAAGAAUUAUUCUAUCAGGAACUCCGUUCCAAAACAACUUUAGUCCUGGGUCGUGGCUCCACCCGGGACUCCUAGAUUUCUGCAUAGUAUUCAAAGUAGGAGUACUUUUCCAAUUUGAGCAUUCAAUAAGCAAAACCAAAUCGUAAAAUAAAAUAGUAUUCAAAUUAGCAUGCAUUCAAUUAUAAGCAAACACAUCAUCUCUUUUGUCCGUACAUCGUCGAAUAUUAUCACUAAUACUCCUCGAAUACUAUCAUACAUAUAACAUCACUGAUACAUCUAGAACCGUAGCGCCCGACGGGUAUCGGCGCGGGCGAUGGACACCCAAAGAGAAGGAACCAUCACAGGAUCAUAGCUCCAGUGAGAUCCCCGAAGAACCUGCCAGGUAUGCUCGAACCUGCCCUCCAACGCAACCAUGUAGCAACGGACGUGCUCAUCCUCCUCGCUGACACGGUGAAGUACCACCUCCGCGGUGUCUGGAAGCCUCGGCACCCUCACUGGCCCACGCGACCGCCACCAAACAAGGAUCGGGUCAACGACGGGCUGGCUCCUCACCAACCUACGCCCCCCGGAAGGUAGCACCUCCCAAUACCAGCCGGGCGGAGCCCAGUCCCGGACAGGGCCCCUCUGAUCAAGCAGGUGUCCGUCGAGUCGACGAUGGGGAUGCGGGAUAGGCAUCAUAAAAUGAACUAAAAAAUAAACUAGUUCUAUUAAUUUUCUUGCUAAAAAUAAACUAUUAACACUUAAGCAUAUACAAUAGCAAAAUUAAACUAUUAACACUUAAGCAUAUACAAUAGCAAAAUUAAGCAAUAAUCUAAGAAACACUAUUAACACUUAAGCAUAUACACUAUACAAUAGUAAAAUUAAAUGACAAAAAACUAAUUUUACUUCUUCUAUUUCUCCUCUUCUUCUACUACUUCUCCUCUUCUUCUUCUUUUAUUUCUCCUCUUCUUCUACUUCUUCUUCUACUUCUACUUCUCCUCUUCUUCUACUACUUCUCCUCUUCUCUUCUUCUACUUCUCCUCUCCUCCUCUUCUAAUUUUUUCUCUUCUUCUACUUCUCCUCUUCUUCUAUUUUUCCUCUUCUUCUCCUCUCCUCUUCUUAUUCUCCUUUUUCUUCUUUUCUUCUCCUCCUCUUCUUAUUUUCCUUUUUCCUAAUCUUAUUUUCUUAUUUUUGUUCAUAUUUCUUCUUCUUGUAACCCUAACCUAAUUCUAAAUAUUACUAACCCUAAUAAUCUAGCACAAACCUAAUAACAAUAGGAAUUAAAUGACAAAAAAAAUCUUUUUCUUUUUCUUAUUUUCUUCUCCUUUUUCUUCCUUUCUUCUCCUUUUUCUUCCUUUCUUCUCCUUUUUCUUCCUUUCUUCCCUUUUUCUUCUUUUCUUCUCCUUUUUCUUCUUUUCUUCUCAUUUUUUCUUCUUUUCUUCUCCUUUUUCUUCUUUUCUUCUCCUUCCCUUUUUCUUCUUUUCUUCUCCUUUUUCUUCCUUUCUUCUCCUUUUUCUUCCUUUCUUCUCCUUUUUCUUCUUUUCUUCUCCUUUUUCUUCUUUUCUUCUCCUUUUUCUUCUUUUCUUCUACUGGCCGGAGUGUUGGGGAGGAGGGGCGGGGGGCUUACCGGCCGAAGGUGUCGACGGUGCGCGGCGAGGAGGGUGGUGCGCGGCGAGGAGGAUGGCGGCGGCGGCGAGGAGGACGGCAGGCGGCGGCGAGGAGGACGGCGGGCAGCCUAACGGCGUCGUCGAGGUCGUCGGUGUGGCGCGCCGGGCAGGAGAACGAGAGGAAGAAGAAGAGAAAUGGAGGAUUUGGGUUGGAAUUUUUCUAAGUCCCGCUUAUAUAGGUGGAUCUUUAGUCCCGGUUCGGGGCUCGAACCGGGACUAAAGACCCCCUUUAGUCCCGGGUGGAGCCACGACCCGGGACUAAAGGCCCUNNNNNNNNNNNNNNNNNNNNNNNNNNNNNNNNNNNNNNNNNNNNNNNNNNNNNNNNNNNNNNNNNNNNNNNNNNNNNNNNNNNNNNNNNNNNNNNNNNNNGAUUGAAUCCUUGACAUCGUGGUUCAUCCGAUGAGAUCAUCGUGGAGAAAGUGGGAGCCACCAUGGGUAUCCAGACCCCGCUGAUGGUUAUUGGCCAGAGAGGUGUCUCGGUCAUGUCUGCCUGUCUCCCGAACCCGUAGGGUCUACACACUUAAGAUUCGAUGACGCUAGGGUUAUAGGGAAUUGUUAUACGAGGUUACCGAAAGUUGUUCGGAGUCCCGGAUGAGAUCCCAGACGUCACGAGGAGCUCCGGAAUGGUCCGGAGGUAAAGAUUGAUAUAUAUAGGACGGAUGGUUUCGGAUACCGGAAGUGUUUCGGGCAUCACCGGUAACGUACCGGGACCACCGGGACCACAGGAGGUGGCCCCGGAGGACCACCGAAGGGGGGCAACGACCCCGGGAGAUAAGGUGGACCAAGUGGGGGUGGGAACCAGCCCCUAGGUGGGCUGGUGCGCCUCCCCACUCAGCCCAUAGCGCUAGGGAGAGAAAAGGGGGGGGGGGCAAACCCUAGGCCAGGUGGGCCUAAGGCCCACCACAUGGUGCGCCACCCCCUCCUCCCCCUUCUGGCCGCCGCACCUCUCAUCUGGGGGGGUGCCGCACCCCUAGGGUGGGAACCCUAGGGGUGGCACCCCCUCUCCCCUCCCCCUAUAUAUCGGGCACUUUUGGCCAUUGAGACACACGGUUUUUCCCUCUCUCUCGGCGCAGCCCUGCUCUUCUUCCUCCUCCUCUCUGCCGGUGCUUGGCGAAGCCCUGCCAGGAGACCUCGUCUCUCCAUCGACACCACGCCGUCGUGUUGCUGGAGUUCUUCCCCAACCUCUCCCUCCUCCUUGCUGGAUCAAGGUGCGGGAGACGUCACCGGGCUGCACGUGUGUUGAACGCGGAGGUGCCGUUGUUCGGCACUAGAUCGGAAUCGCUGCGAGUACGACUCCAUCAACCGCUUUCUAGCAACGCUUCCGCUUAGCGAUCUUCAAAGGUAUGAAGAUGCUCUUACCCCUCUCUCGUUGUUGGUCUCUCCAUAGGAAGAUCUGAAUAUGCGUAGGAAAAUUUUGAAUUUAUGCUACGUUACCCAACAAUGACGACGGCGACGAUUUCCCCCUCCGGGAGGGAAGUUUCCCCGGCAGGAUCAUCCUGCCGGAGCUCUAGAUUGGUUCUGCUCAAGUUCCGCCUCGUGGCGGUGGAGAAUCCACGAAAAAGCUCCACCCCUGAUUUUUUUUCGGAUGAAACCCUUCAUAUAGCAAAAGAGGGGGGCCAGUGGGCCACCAGGGUGCCCACAAGCCCUGUUGCCGCGGCCAGGGGGGUAGGCCGCGGCCACCAGACUUGUGGGCCCCUGGCAGCUCCCCUCUGGCACUUCUUUCACCCAAUAUUUUUUAUAUAUUACCAAAAAAAUCCAUGUUGAUUAUCAGGGCAUUUGGAGUUGUGCAGAAUAGAGUACUCGGACUUGCUCCUUUUCCAGUCCAGAAUUCCAGCUGCCGGUAUUCUCCCUCUUCAAAUAAACCUUGCAAAAUAAGAGAGAAAAGGCAUAAGUAUGGUACCACAAAGUAUAAUAACAAUCCAUAAAGCGAUAAAUAUCAACAUGAAAACAUGAUGCAAAAUGGACGUAUCAUAACUCCGUGUACAAGUACAACGUCGAGUUCCACGAGCUAGCCCGAUACGCCUUGCAGGAUGUCCCUGAUCAGAAGAGCAAGAUUUAUAAGUUCAGAGGUGGCUUGAAAGAAGAUUUGCAGUUAGCUCUCGCUUUGCACGAUCCUGAGGAGUUCGACAAGUUCUACAACUUAGCUCUCAGGGCAGAGGCAGCCUUGCUCAGGGUGGAGAAUUCUAAGAAGCGCUUCAGAGAUUCCAGCUCGUCUUCUACUCAGGUGGUUCAGAAGCAACAGAAGUUUUGGGUGUCUCCUCUUCCUCCUCGGCACACGGAGCAGUUUACGCAUUCUGGUGGCCGUGGUUCUUCCCACCCACCCAACCCAGUCUUUCAGCAGAGAUUCCAGCAUCAGAAGCAAGGGCCUCCUCAGUUGCAGUACCGUCAGCCAGCAGAGGUUACUUGUCACAACUGUGGGCAGAAAGGUCACUAUUCCAACAAGUGCACUUCUCAGCUCCGUCUGCUCCUCCUCCUCCAGGCAAACCUCCAAGCAAUGCUCUCGUGAAGUUCAACCCCAGGCCAGCUCGAGUCAACAUGGUGAAUGCGGCUGAGGCAGAAAACUCGUCAGAUGUGAUCAUGGGUAACCUCCUCGUUAGUGAUAUUCCUGCUAAAGUGUUAUUUGAUUCUGGUGCACCGCAUUGCUUCAUCUCCAACCUUUCAUUGCUAAGCAUGAUAUUCCUGCAAUUCACUUGGAUAGUCCCUUCCGUGUGGUUUCUCCGGGAAUGCGCAUGAGUUCUCACAUGUUGGUUCCGGAUGCUUCUGUCAAGUUAGGCAGUUAUUAUUUUCUGGCGUCUCCUAUUGUCUUGGGCAAUUCCGACAUUGACUUGAUCCUUGGUAUGGACUGGCUGGGCAUGAACAAGGCAUCGAUUGAUUGUGAAGCUAAAGAAGUGAAGCUUACCCACUCUUCAGAGGACGUGAUUAUAUUCGCGGCGCGCGAUGAUACAGUCCGUCUGUUCUCUUUGAAUGAAAAGGGUGAGAUUAAUCCUAUUUCGCAAGUCCCAGUGGUCUGCGAAUAUGAAGAUGUGUUUCCAGAAGAGCUGCCAGGCAUGCCUCCGCAUCGAGAAGUUGAAUUUGUGAUUGAGCUUGAACCAGGUACUGAGCCUGUGUGCAAACGGCCAUACAAAUUAGGUCCAGAAGAGUUGAAGGAACUAAAGAGGCAACUCGAUGAGCAGGAGCGUUUGGGUCUGAUCAGACCGAGCUCGUCUCCGUGGGGCUGUGGAGUUCUGUUUGUCAAGAAGAAGGAUGACACGGACCGAUUGUGUGUCGAUUACCGUCCAUUGAACAAGAAGACAAUCAGAAACAAAUAUCCACUUCCGAACAUAACUGAGUUGUUCGAACAGUUGAAAGGGGCUAAGAUCUUCUCCAAGCUCGAUCUCAGAAUGGGCUAUCAUCAAAUUUGCAUUCACGAAGAGGAUAUUCCGAAGACUGCUUUCAGAACUAGUUUUGGCUCGUAUGAAUAUACGGUCAUGUCUUUUGGUCUGGCAAAUGCUCCUCCGAUAUUUUGUCGAUUGAUGAACUACAUAUUCUCUCCGUUCAAGAAUGACUUCGUCUUGCUCUAUCUCGACGACAUUCUGGUAUUUUCUGAAACUGAGGAAGAACAUGAAGAACAUCUCAGAUUGGUGCUUGAUAAGCCGAGGGAGUACAAAUCGUAUGCCAAUUUUUCCAAGUAUGAGUUCUGGCUGAAAGAAGUCGUCUAUCUUGGUCACAUUAUCUCUGCCGAGGGCAUCAAAGUUGAUCCAUCGAAGGUGCAGGCCAUUGUUGAAUGGGAGCCUUCGCAGAAUGUGAAGCAACUUCGAAGCUUUCUUGGGCUUGCAAGCUAUUGUAGAAGGUUCAUUGAGAACUUCUCCAAGAUUGCUAAGCCGCUCUCAAGUCUUCUUCAGAAAGGUGUGAAGUAUGCUUGGUCUCCAGAGUGUCAGUUGGCCUUUGACACACUCAAAGAGAAGCUCACCUCUACUCCAGUCUUGGUUCCUCCGGAUGAUUCCAAGCUUUACCAGGUGUUCUGCGACGCUUCUCUCCAGGGUCUUGGUGCAGUUCUGAUGCAAGAGAAGAAAGUGCUUGCUUAUACCUCCAGACAGUUGAAGCCAGCGGAGAAGAAUUAUCCUGUGCAUGAUCUUGAGCUAGCAGCUGUGUACACGCUCUGAUGACUUGGAGACACCUCUUGUUGGAACAAAAGGUUGAAGUGUUCACUGAUCACAAGAGUCUCAAGUACAUCUUCACUCAGCCUAACCUGAAUCUUCGACAAACUCGUUGGGUGGAAAUGCUCCAAGUUUUAAUUCGAGUGUUGAGUACAUGUCAGGCAAAGCUAAUGUCGUGGCAGAUGCNNNNNNNNNNNNNNNNNNNNNNNNNNNNNNNNNNNNNNNNNNNNNNNNNNNNNNNNNNNNNNNNNNNNNNGAAAGCUUACUGCAACAGUCUCAUUCUGAAACCUCUCCAGCCUGACCUUUGUGAGUCUUUCAGGAAGCUCAACCUUCAGUUAGUAUCUCAGGGAUUUCUUGCAAAUCUUCAUAUCUCUCCUACCUUGGAAGAUCAUGUCCGAGCAGCACAACUUCUUGAUGCUAUGGUGAAGAAAAUCAAUAUUGGCGUGGCAAACAGUCUUCCCAAAUAUAAGUGCUUCAGUGUUGAUGCCAGAGACACGUUGUUCUUUGAGGAUCGUCUUGUCGUUCCGAAAGGUGAUCUCAGAAAGGUAAUCAUGGAAGAAGCUCAUAACUCUCUGCUCUCUAUUCAUCCUGGAAGCUCCAAGAUGUAUCAGGACUUGAAACAGACCUUCUGGUGGACUCGCAUGAAGCGUGAGAUUGCUCAGUUCAUAAAUGAAUGUGAUGUAUGUCGAAGGGUGAAAGCAGAGCAUCAACGCCCAGCAGGUCUUUUGCAUCCUUUACCCAUUCCCGAGUGGAAGUUCGAUCAUAUUGAGAUGGAUUUCGUCACCGGGUUUCCGAAGUCCAAGAAGGGCAAUGGUGCCAUCUUAGUCGUCAUCGACAAGUUGAGUAAAGUGGCUCAUUUUCUUCCAGUCAAGGAAUCCAUUUCGGCAGCUCAGCUUGCAGAGUUGUACACUUCCAGGAUAGUGUCUUUGCACGGCGUGCCUAUGAUGAUCUCUUCGGAUCGCGGAAGUAUCUUCACUUCCAAGUUCUGGGACUCUUAUCAGUCUGCGAUGGGCACGAAGAUACGCUUCAACACAGCUUUUCAUCCUCACACUAGUGGUCAAGUGGAGCGAGUCCAUCAAGUUCUUGAGGAUAUGCUGAGAGCCUGUAUUAUCUCUUUUGUCAUGAAGUGGGAGGAUUGCCUGCCUUUUGCUGAGUUCUCGUAUAAGAACAGUUAUCAAGCUAGUUCUGGCAAAGCUCCGUUUGAAAUUCUCUAUGGAAGGAAGUGUCGUACCCCGCUCAACUGGUUCGAGACCGGCGAGCGUCAGAUCCUUGGGAAUGGCUUGAUAGAAGAAGCUGAGGAGAUGUGUCGGGUCAUUCGUAAUAACCUCAGAGCAGCUCAGUCCCGUCAGAAGAGCUAUUAUGAUAGCAAGCAUCAUGACAUGUCUUAUGAGCUUGAUGACUUCGUUUAUCUCAAGGUGUCGCCUAUGAAGGGUACGCAACGCUUUGGCAUCAAAGACAAGCUUGCGCCUCGUUUCGUUAGUCCGUUCAGACUUGUUGGCAAGAGAGGCGACCUUGCGUACCAGCUUGAGCUCCCGUAAAACUUUGCAAAUGUGCAUGAUGUGUUCCAUGUCUCUCAGCUCCAGAGGUGCUUCAAUACCCCCAAGCGCACUGUCCAUCUUCAAGACAUCCACCUUCAGCCUGACCUAUCCUAUCGUGAGCAUCCAGUUGCGGUUCUCGAGGCAACUCAGCGCAAGACCCGCAACAAGACUGUCAAAUUUCUCAAAGUGCAGUGGUCACACCAUUCCGAUAAAGAGGCUACUUGGGAACGCGAGGAUCACCUCCGUUCUAAAUUUCCGGAGUUCUUUCAGGCGUAGAUCUUGGGGCGAGAUCUUUUUGUAAUGUGGGAGAGUUUGUAAUGCCCCAAGAGUGUAUCUUUCCCUAUUUGGAACCUUCUCUAUGUGGUUCCACCUUGUCAUUGAUAUGAGAGCUCAAUGCAUAUGAUUUCAUGUGAUGUCACCUUGAUUUGUGUUCCUUUGCAUGCAUGCAUACCAUUCAUUCCAUGUCUUGGUGUUUGUACCUUGUGAUCUUAUGUUGGUGGUGGAUAUGACUUGUGAUGAUAGUGUAUGUGAGUGUGGAGUGAGUGUUAGUAGAUAGCAUGUGGUUUGUAUAGGCUUCAAAACCCUCUCCCUCUUAUUUAUCCCAAUGUCAAGUUUCUCUUGUUCCAUCUUUGUUUUAAAAAUGCCCAUGUGUUAGCAUUAUUUUGUGGUGGAUAUGAGAUGUGGAUUUGCUGUUUUGAAAAGGUGUUUUAAUGGUGCAACUAAUUACAAAACAUAUUUAAUAAUAAUGUUUUGUAAAUAUUUAGUUGCUCCAAAUAAUCCUUUUGUAAUUUAUUCAAAUAGGUCAUAAUUUCUUAUGACUAGGGACAUUUUUCUUUUGUUUUGAACCCCAAUAGAUUUGUCUUUGCUUUAUGUUCUUUCUCUGUUUAUUUUUGUAUUUGGAAAACCCCAGGGAAUUAUUUUCCUUCUAUCUGGCGCUACUAGUGGGUUCCCUCCCACUAGCAGGCCCAUCCCUCCUCUCUACCGCGCGGCAGCCCACCUGCGCGUCCCUCCUUCCUCCUCCUGACAACGUCUACCCCCGUGCCCGCUUUCCGUCAGACAACCGAGAGAGAGAGAGAGAGAGAGAGAGUCACCGUGAGGGCUCACGAACGUCGAGGCGCCCCCAAAAAGCAUUGGCGUCCGUGCCCCUCCUUUCCCUAGGGUUCCGCGUCCCCUCUUUGCGCCGCCGCCACCUCCCUCCAUCUCCCUCCAUCUCUCCUUCCCCCUCAGGUAAGGGCUGUGUAGAUAGGUUGCACAGAGAGAGAGAAGUGCACCGCGACGUCCUCCGCGCCUCCGUCGUCUCCGGCGCCGGCCACCAUGUCCGGGGGCUCGAAGCGGAUGCCCGCGCUCCAUUCCCGUCCUCGGUGAGGCCGGGGAGCGACCUCACCGACGGGCAGGAGCUCGUCUACGGCGUGCACCCGUCGGUCUUCUUGCUCUACUUUGGUCUGCAGCAGGCCAUCUUCUUCAGUUCAUCUACAUUUUCUCGAGGCGCUCCUUCUUCCCGAUCGGCGUCUCUUAUCCUUCCCCUAGGUGAGCUAGCUCUCCUCCUCCCUUCCCCCUGGAUUAGAUCGGCCUAGGGCUCGUCGGCAUACCUCUGUCCCGAGAGGGUUUGACAGAUGCAGUGCAUGUGUUGCUGCAUGUGUUGUGUGUGGCGUGCUCGGUAGAUGCAGAGCAGAGGCUUUCCCUCGCAGCGCAGUGGUAGCGUAGUAGAUCUCCCCCUCACGUAGAAGCAACAGUAGCGAGGCCAUGCUCCGGUGGUGUUCUCUGCCGCCGGCGUCCCUGUGUUUAGAGCAGAGCAUCUGGUGCAUGUGUAGGUUACCUGGUAGAGAUCCCCUUCUCUCUCAAGAUCCUGAAGCGUAGUGGUCAUAGCGUGUGUGUGUUGUUGGUGAGGUGGUGGAUUCGAGUCCCACGCGUGCCACCCCCUUCUUGCUUAUUAUUCGGCACGGUAGCUGCAGUAGCGCAUAGUGACUUACCUUGCAAGAGCCUCUCUGUUUUGUCGAACUAGUGGCAGUAGAAGAGUGGUGCAGGUGAUGCCCAGGGGGUCCUGGGUUCGAUCCCAACCCCCUCCUUUUUAUUCCUUUUGCCCUCCUUUACUGUUUUUCUCUUGGUUGCUUGUGUAGUUGAUGUGUAGGUGUUAGAUCACCUUGUGACAUUAUUUUUAGCUCUCAACAGUAGGUUGUAGCUAUUAUUUUGUUGCUAGCAAGUAGUGAAUGCAUGUGUAGGUUGUGUGGUGUAUGUUUGUGUAAGUAUCAUGUGUGUGUGUGCACCUUGUGAGUGUAUGGCUCCAUGUGAUGAUGCAUGUGGUGUGUGCGUGUGUGGAGCAUAUGUGCAUGAUGAGAGUUGAGCUCAUGCACUAAUGGUGCAAGAGUGAGGUGCAUGUGUGUGUGGGUUUUCCUCCCACAUACCUUGUGAUGAUGCAUGUGAGUGUGUGUGUGUCUCACACAUGCCAUGGCAUGAUGUGCCAUGAUAAGCACAUGUGUUGUAUGUGUAGGGUAGAGAGGCAUGAUGUGUGUGUAGAUAGCGUGGUGUGUUCUAUUUAGCAUGUGUAGGUGCUUUCUUGCUAGUGCUUGAUGUGUGUGGUGUAUGGUAGUGUGCUAAGGCACAAGACCAUGGGGUCUACCGCUCCCGUGCACCAAUGUAGUGUUGAUAGAGUGCAAGUGCUUGUGUAGGUGUUGUUCUAGUGAAUAGCACAUGUGAAGUUGCACUAUUCACUAUAUGUGAUUCCAUGUAGGUUUUCUUUACUAGUUUGUGCCCAAUUGUUCUAUGCAAGUGCCCAUGUUUUAUAUAUUUUUUUGGGGUAGAAUCAUCCCAGGAAUCCGUUGGUGAAGUCAGUUUUGCCUUUGGAACACUUUCUGGGAAUGUCAUAUUUCAGAUUUGUUCUAUGUUUAGAGCUUGGUUCCAUGAGAUGUGGUGAGCCCAAGAGGUUGAUUCUUUGUUGUGGCAGUGGUGAGCCCAAGAGCUUGUAUCAUGCUUAGUAGUUCUUAUGUGCAAGUGGUGCUUAGUCAAAGUAGGCAUGUGGCUGAAAUUCUAGCUUAGUGAAAAUCUGUGAUUUUCACUAAGUCUGAGAAUCUGCUUAUAUUUUCUUCUCCUCUUGAUGUGCUUGUAGAGGUCCAUGUGUUGUGAAUCAGCCUUUUCUAUCAACUGGAAAGUUGUAGUUUUUGUGCUUGUAUGGCUCUCUAUAAAUUUUCAUUCCAUUUAUCAGCCUUUGCUAUCAACUGGAAAGUUGUAGCUUUUGUGCUUGUCUAGAUCUCUGUAAAUUUUCAUUCCAUUUGGAUCCGUGUAGAUAUUGUUUUGGGUGUUGUCAAGAUGCUUCAGAGCAUAAACAGCUAGUGAGAAUCUGGAAUUUUCACUAAGUCCCUGAAAACUGAUAUUUUUGGCCAAGUUAGCAGGUGUGUAACUUUCUGUGUGAAACUCCUUUGCAAUAUCUUUUUUGCUUGUGCUUGUAGUACUCUUGGAUAGCUUCUGGCACAUAUCCGAUUUGGCAUGUUUGGGUGGCUGUAGGUGCUUUGCAUGUACUCCCUCCGUUCCUUAAUAUAAGUCUUUUAAGAGAUUUCAUUAGGAGACUACAUACGAAGAAAAAUGAGUGAAUCUAUACUCUAAAAUAUGUCUACUUACAUCUGUAUGUAGUUCCCUAGUGGAACCUACAAAAAGACUUAUAUUUAGGAACGGAGGGAGUAGCUCUCAAAAGGCUAUGAUGCUAUUUAUGGCAGAUUGUAUAAUUUUGAUGUUUUGAUGCUUGUGAGUGCAUAGUUGAUGGUGUGGUGAAAUUCUUUGCACCACCUCAUCCAUGUUGGUUUGUUUUAUGUCUUGGCAACCUAGAAAUACCAGAAGCAUGCCAUUGGUGUGUUUUGUGAUGAUUUUGAUACGUAGGACGUCAUUUCUUGUUUCGUUGUUUCCCGUUGAUCCGUAACUCCGUUUGUAACGUUCUUUAUAUGGUUUUGCAUCGUUUUCACGCGACACAUCUGUUCAUGUCAUCCUCAUGCAUGUCAAGAUAGCUUAGAGUGCAGUUCUGUCCAGGAACUUGUAUUUUCUUCUCAUGCUUGUGCUAGUGAGUAGAAUAGAGAUGCAUGUUCAUUUUCAUCUAAUGCAUCAUGUGCUUGUUGCAUCUUGAGGUAUUGUUGUUCAUUGGAUGCUAUUUUUAUGUUGGGUAGCACCGGGAUAGGAGAACGAGUACGUGUAUCUGGGAGAGUACGUGCAGGACGAACAAGAGCAGUUCCAAGCUGAGGACAUCAGAGGCAAGAUGAUAUGACCUUGAUUCCAUAUCUAGACUUGUUAUGCUAGAUUACGUUUCUUCUGUCAUAUGCUCGCUGCCUACCACUGAAAUAAUUGCCUCCUGAUAUUGCCAUGAAACCCAAACACUUAUCCCUUCCUAGCAAAUCUUGAAUGGCUAAGUAGGCUUGCUCAGCUACUAAUGUUAGCGUUGCUAGUUGCAGGUGGUGUUGUCUCAUGUGAUAAUAUGAGCUUGAUAUCAUUAUGUUAAAUCUGUUAUUUAAUUAAUGCACCUAUAUACUUGGUAAAUAACGAAAGUCCUAGCCUUUUGUCGGGUGUCUUGUUCCGUUAUUCCCGCCAUAGUUACCGGCUACCGGUGUUUGAUUCCAUAACUGAUCGCUCCUAACACGUUCGGGGUUGUUAUGGGGACCCUCUUGAUAAAUCGUGUAGUGUUAAGACUUGUCCGGCAGGACCCAACAUUGGUGUUAAUUUGAUAAUCACUUAAUAAUAAUCUGCAUAGGGAAUAGCUACCCCGAGGAAUUUAAUCAACAACCCGGGCCAGUGCUCCUCAUGAGUGUUGGUCCAACCCAGAGCAGCUUAUUACGCUCCCCGGGGCAACUCGGUGUUUUGGCGUGGUAACCAUCGCUCAUCCGUCGUGUCCUGAGACUGAGAUACGCGGCUCUUAUUGGGGUCGUCGACACGACGGGAGGUCCUGCUAGGCUUAUCUUACCUUAGCGAUAUAUCUUGCGUAUAGGAAUCCUCGUGAAGCUUUGGUUCUCCCCAGAGUUGAGGUUUUCCUCUAAGGAAUCCGACGAGAUCACAAGAUUCGUGAUAGAGGAUUACUUUGCGGCCCGUGACCGUUUGUGAUGGACUAGUUGGAGCACCCCUGCAGGGUUUAAUCUUUCGGAAAGCCGUGCCCGCGGUUAUGUGGCAACUUGGAAUAUUUGUUAACAUCCGGUUAUACAUAACUUAAACAUAACUCUAAUAAAAUUGCCAACUGUGUGCGUAACCGUGACUGUCCCCUUCGAAGAUCUCUCUUCGACCAGGAACACGGUGGGGUUAUGAUUGACGUAAGAAGGUGUUCAGGAUCACUUAAUGAUCAGCUAAACUUCGAUUGCUAGUAUAGACCACCUUCAAUACAUGUUCUACAUAAGAUAGCCACUAUAAAGCUUAGGAUGCUGCAACCUAAAUACUCCACCUUCCUUACCUAAUAACUUGACUAGUUCUGGCACCGAGGUCAUAGAUUGUUGAGUCCCCGUGGCUCACAGAUUCCUUCACAACACCAACAGGUUCAGGUACCCCGAGACAGGUGAUCCCGACGGCACGCAGCUGGCGUGGCAGUACGAUGAGAAGAACGACCGCAUGUACGUGAACUAUUCAGAAGACUGAGGCGUGGUCGUGAUCGUGGGCAAACAUGCAGGGUAGCAUAGUCAUUUCUCAUGUUUCGUAGUCCGUAGCGGAGCUACCUUGUUUGGAUGCGUGUUGUAACUCUGAUAUAUUUAUGAGAUGACAGUUGAAUCCCUAAUUAUCAGUCUACUAUUAUUAUGUAUGUGCUAUGUUACCGUGCUUGUGAAACGCUUAGAUGCGCUUCUUUCUAAUUCGGGGCCUCGUUCCCUAAAUCGGAAAGGACCGCAUCUUAGUCAUUACAGCCUACCAAACACCUCUCACACAAACAUAUAUGCCAAAUGCAAGUUCACUGAAUCAAUACUUGUCGCCUCCACCAGGAAAUAAAAACAAGGCUUUGUCUGUUGAUCCUCUCUCCAAGGAGAUUGUAGAGGAUUAGAGGAGAGUGACAUGGAUUUUGACUUGCAAGGGGAAUCCCCUUCAACAUCCCCUGCCACCUCGUGCUUCACACCCGUGUCGCUGAACAACAUAACACAAUUGCCGUGAUGGUGCGGCCUGCCACAUGCAAGAAAUUUUUGCAACCACCAAAUGAUUUUCGUAUGGGGAGUAUUUUGCGCCAAGGACACACACAUAUAAAUGAUCUGACUAAACCUAUGAAGGUCUCUAAAUCGCAUGCCCCCUCGGCUCCUUUUUCUUUGGAAUGCACAUCUGCCACCACGUAAACCAAUGCAUUUCAUUUCAAAGGUCAUGAUCUCCCCAGCUAUCUCAUCAGCUAUGGCAUUGCAAAUCCCCUUUGGAAACUUAAAAACCAUUGUGAUAAGAAGGGAUUUCCUUCCCACAAAGAGAUAACAUCUUUUCCUUCCAUCGUUCCAUCCUUUACUUCUAGGCACGAGAUCGACAAUGUGUCUAAGACACCCACCGUGGUAAGUAGGCCACGGGGAGAUUGUAGGAACAACCCUAAAAAUUCAUGUUUAGAAAAUCCAAAUAAUUAUGGAUUCUUUUACAACAUACUCUCUUCGUCUUAAAAUAACUGUUUUAAAUUUAAUGUAAUUUUAUAUUAUAGCUAAUAUAAAAUUAAGACAUUUGUUUUAAGACAGAAAAAAUAUAUACCUACAUGUAUGUCUAUAACUCUAAAAUUCAGCUCUACAGUAAGAGAUUAAAGAGAAGACAAAUUUAACUCUGAAUAGUGCCAGCUUUCGGUGAAUAGUAUUUGACACUAUUCGGAUGCGCUUUUUUUUCUUCUAUGAGAGCAUAUCUAGCAGACCUUUUAAAACACCAAACUGCAAACACAGUUUUUAGCCCGUGAAAAAUGCAUUCUAAGGAUCGGUUUGAGCUGCGGUCGAACAGAUCCCUUAAACUGUAACAAAUUUUCGUUUAUAUUUUUUUCCAUACCUUCUUCUUUCUUUCGUCCGUGUUCAUGGUCAACUAAAUUCACUCCUAAAAGCCGACGAAGAACGCACGAAGCGGCCAAAUAUAGGGCCACCGACGUCCAGGACGGCUCACACAAAGCUAAGGCUCACAUGACCAUAGCAGUAGCUGGCUAGCUCCGGUCGUCGAUGGCUAGCUAAAUCCAUCCAAGAGCUAGCUAGGCUCCGGUUGCAAAUCCAUCCAAGCUCCGGUUGCCAAUCCAUCCACGAGCGACGGCCGGGGCGACGCACGACGGUGGACGCAGAAGUUUCCGUGGCAGUUAGGCUCCAGCCAACUGCUUUUCUCGAUACAGGACACCAUAGAAACGGACGCAAAAACUGUGUUUUAACGUAUCUGAAUAAGCUUUUUACCGCGUCUCACAAAAAAAAUUACGGAUCCAACACGUUUGUGGGGUCUAAUCAGGCAAAAAAAUUCGCAGGGAUCCGUAUUUUGACAGUUAUUUUAUGGAUCGGGGCAUUAUAAGUGAUCUGCUAGAGAUGCUCUAAGUGUAGUGUGAAUUAUGAGCUAGAGCUUUUUGAAAUUGUAUGUCAAACAUGGAUGUGUGUCUAUAAAUAUAUUCUUUAGAUUCUUUAUCUUCAAAAAGAAUGAUCUCGGUGACCAACCAUUAGGUCGACAAAAGAAGAGAAGACAACUCAAACUCAGAGAUUCACCUUUUGUACACUGAACUCAACAAAAGAAGACAACCCACACAUGCUUAACUGAGGAUGUAUAAGACUUCUCAGUUCUCACACUCAAACCGGGAGCACUUGCAAACCUGAUGGGAAUCAGCAAGCAGUUCGUUUGUUUCGUGGGCAGAUGACGGUCAUUUCAUCUGACAGCCAGAUAAGAUCCACCACUCGCCAAAUCUCUCUAUAACAAAUAAAAUAAGAAGAAACCAGGAGCUGUUCUCUCACAAUAGGCGAGAACUUCAAACUCAAACUCAAACCAAAGCUAUAAACAUCUACUAACCUUUUUGUUUCCUACCCAAACAAUCUACAGAUCUCUUCUUCAUCAUCAGAGCUCAGCUGAUCAUCAGUGGUUCCAGCCCCUCUCCUUGUCCCUGUUCUGGUGCCCGCCCCUCGGCGCACCNNNN
rnacentral:lncRNA from 1 species